rnacentral:rRNA from 1 species
GACGAACGCUGGCGGCGUGCUUAACACAUGCAAGUCGAGCGGUAAGGCCUUUCGGGGUACACGAGCGGCGAACGGGUGAGUAACACGUGGGUGAUCUGCCCUGCACUUCGGGAUAAGCCUGGGAAACUGGGUCUAAUACCGGAUAUGACCUCCUAUCGCAUGUUGGGUGGUGGAAAGAUUUAUCGGUGCAGGAUGGGCCCGCGGCCUAUCAGCUUGUUGGUGGGGUAAUGGCCUACCAAGGCGACGACGGGUAGCCGCCCUGAGAGGGUGACCGGCCACACUGGGACUGAGACACGGCCCAGACUCCUACGGGAGGCAGCAGUGGGGAAUAUUGCACAAUGGGCGAAAGCCUGAUGCAGCGACGCCGCGUGAGGGAUGACGGCCUUCGGGUUGUAAACCUCUUUCAGCAGGGACGAAGCGCAAGUGACGGUACCUGCAGAAGAAGCACCGGCUAACUACGUG